GCAGCCUUUAAAAAAUACUUUUUUUUUUUGGUACCAGGCUGGAACUCAGGACCUUGUGCUUGUGAGGUAGGUGGUGGCACCACUGAGCUAAAUCCUCAGCCCUAAAAAAAUACUAUUUUGAGGCAGGUUCUCGCUGAGUUGCCCAGGCUGGCCUGGAACUUGGUCCUUCCACCUCAGCUUCACCGGUAGUUGGGAUCACAGGUUUGGGCAGUUAUGAGUAAAGCUGUUAUAAACAUUUGAGUGUAGAUUUUUUGGUGGACAUAGAUUUUCAACUCAUUUGGACAAACAAAGCAGCAUGAUUGUUGGAAUAUAAGAUCAGCUACUUUUCCACUUCGCUGAAAGCACUAAGUGAUUUUUCUUCGGUUUCCACUGUGUGGCCUUGACUGGACUCCUAGAAAUACAACUCACAAAAUGGCGGCACUCUGCAGGGCUGGGCCCCCGGAAUUAAUUCCCCAGCUCACCCAACGGAGCUUCAAGAAAUUCAAUUACAAUUUAAGUUUUCCCACCUUGGUACUGGCUCCCGUG
rnacentral:lncRNA from 1 species